rnacentral:rRNA from 1 species
CUUGCUUUCUUUGCUGGCGACCGGCGCACGGGUGAGUAACACGUAUCCAACCUGCCCUUUACUCGGGGAUAGCCUUUCGAAAGAAAGAUUAAUACCCGAUAGCAUAAUGAUUCCGCGUGGUUUCAUUAUUAAAGGAUUCCGGUAAAGGAUGGGGAUGCGUUCCAUUAGGUUGUUGGUGGGGUAACGGCCCACCAAGCCUUCGAUGGAUAGGGGUUCUGAGAGGAAGGUCCCCCACAUUGGAACUGAGACACGGUCCAA